ensembl:lncRNA
AAGGCAAACAGAUCACUUGAGGUCAGGAGUUCCAGAUCAGCCUGGCCAGCAUGAGAAAAAGGCAGAGCUGGAAUGGCCAUGCAUCCCAUUCAUCACGGAGAACACCCCACAUCCCCUGACACCCAAGAUGAGGGCUUCUCUUCCCUAUGUGUCCAGGCCUUGGAAUAAAGAGAAUACAAGACGCCCAAGAGUGGAUCAGCAGAUUGGCAGGAAGGGUGCAGGACCUAACCCAAUGACAAUGCUCGCAGGAGGAGCCCUUCAGAAGUCACCAGGUAUGGAUGUUUCCUGGUGCUAUGCAUUUCUUUUACUUUGUCUUCAAGACUCCCACCCAGGGAAUGAGUCUUCAUUUUACGCUGAAGGCUCUGUCUCUCCAGUUAAAAAAAAAAGGACUCCCACCCCAAGGAGUGCUCUCAAAGGGUUUUACUCAAUGCACCCCGAAGAAAUGGCUGCAUUCAUCAUGAAUCCUCCCCUCCUAAAAAGUCACAUUUCUAGUAGUUCAUUGACAGGAGAAAAAAUACUCAUUCCCUCCCGUCAUUCCCGGAAGCAGUGCUGGAGAAAAUAUAACCAACCAGGCAUGAAGUGACUACACUGAGAUGGCACAGCCACAGGUGAAGAGGAUUUCGCAGCAGGGUGUGGGAGGAGAGGAGCCGCGUUCCAGGUGCAAGGAGGCAUAACCGCUGUGCUUCCAAAACUCCUGUGUUGUUACCAAAGACCUGAUAAUUAUGUCAGUGAACAUUCUGCCUUCUGUUUACUACACUGAUCUGUUCACUUAAAGAACUAAAACUUCUAGGUUUUCUUCCCAAAGGCUACGUAUCUGAGAAAAUGUGGUUUCACUAAAAGGAAAACACUGGGCAGCCAGGUGCGGUGGCUCAUGCGUGGAAUCCCAGAACUUUAGGAGGCUGAGGCAAGCAGAUCACUUGAGGUCAGGAGUUCAAGACCAGCCUGGCCAGCAUGGUGAAAUUCCAUCUCUACUCAAAAUACAAAAAUUAGCCGGGUGUGGUGGCACACACCUGUGAUCCCAGCUACUCAGGAGGCUGAGGCAGGAGAAUAGCUUGAACCUGGGAGGUGGAGGUUGCAGUGAGUCGAAAUCAAACCAUUGCACUCCAGCCUGGGUGACAGAGCAAGACUCCAUCUCAAAAAAACAAAACAAAACCAAAGAAAACACUGAGCCAGGUGCAGUGGCUCAUGCCUAUAAUCCAAGCACUUUGGGAGGCCGAGGCAUGAGGAUUGCUUAAGCUCAGGAGUUUGAGACCUGUCUGGGCAACGUGGCAAAAUACCAUCUCUACAAAAAAUACAAAAUUAGCCGGGCAUGGUGGCAUGUGUCUAUAGUCCCAGCUACUUAGGGGGCUGAGGCGGGAGGGUCACUUGUGCCUCAGAGGUUGAGGCUGCAGUAAGCUGUAAUCACGCAACUAUAUUCCAGCCUGGGUGACAGAGCAAGACCCUGUGAAAAGAAAAGGAAAGAGAAAAGAAGAGGAGAGGAGAGGAGAGGAGAGGAGAGGAGAGGAGAGGAGAGGAAGACUGGGUUUAAGAAAGAAUUUUAUUUUCACAAUGUUUUUAUUUUUAAUUUUUAAAAAAUAUUUUAAAUUAAUGAGACAGG